UUAUCUGUAGUACAACGUGUUCAAGAGUUAAUGCCCGAUCAAAUAUUUACCCUAAAACCUAAAAAUCACAGUGUGUUUCACGUAGACUGUUGAACUAACUUGGAGAGUACACAUACACAGGCUGAUUUGUUUCAAUAUCAAAUAUAAGCAGUUGUAUAAUGUUUGAAGUUGAUUUGUACACAUCACAUCUUUUGUGUUCUCAAUCCAUAAGCCAUAUUUGCUGAUUAUGUGGGUAUAGCCGGAUAUAUAAGUGUAGCUCAGAGCAAUUAUGUAAAUAUUCUGCUCUCUAAUAUGUGCUUGGUGUAGUUGGAUCUGGUGGCUAGAAGAGUGGCAGUUGGAAGAAACGACCUAACGCAGGAUUGUCUGCGAACUUCUACAAGAUAGAAACCCGAGAAAAGGCUUAGCAAGAUCACGAUUCUAUUAUCCUGUGCUGAACAUCAAAGUAAUCUUGUGUGUAUUUCUUUGUAACUUGAGUAGAUAAACGUGUGGUUUGUUUAAUUGGGUGAAAAAGAUUAGAAUAUGACUAUAUCUCACUAUUUAUAACUUCUGCGAGUAAAAGAAACCCACUUCAUCUUAGUUUACUGUGGAAUAUUGACUUCAAAGCACGAGUGGAAUAGACGCUGAGAAGAUAUAAUACAAGCAGGAAAAUGAAGAAGAAAAUAUCUGAGUGUGGCUACAGGAAUCAGAACAAUAGAGAUUAGUGAUGAAGGACGUUUAAGAAGAUCGACAGAUGGUACAAAUCGCCGACCACGUGAUGCUAUGUGAGUGAAACCUGCAACGGACCUGUCCCUAGCUGCUGUCGGAGGUCAAAGGUUGUGGCAGCGACGACAAUUUAACCACGCGCAGAGAAACACUCCAUCACCUGAGGUUAUGUACUGAUGACAUCAUCAAGGUCUGUUACUUGGAUCACAAGUGAAGAAAUACUGGCUCCAUUAGAUAACACCGUGCACAUGUACGUUUGUUGACAUUUGCUGAGCUAAAUCCUGCGGCGAUCAAGACUAAUAAGUUUUCUGAAAUAUUUACACAGCGGUCUUCGUAUAAUGUCACAUGUCUCACGAAGGGGGCGUUACUGUAGAAAGAGAGAGAGAGAGACCAUGCGUCCCCUUAGGCAACACAGCAGGAAGAGUCCUUGAAAUUACUUGACAAAACCGGGCAUUUAAUCUGGUAUGUUUACUUUCAACAGUUUCGAUCAGCGAGAGGAGAAGAUACUGUCGUUAUUGAAAGUCCGUUUAAAAUAGUUUAAUAGUUUCAGAAAACAAAUAACGAUUUCACCUUCAUAUUAGUCACUAGGAUACAAUUCUAAUGGUUAUCUCUGAUAAUUUGUGAUGUUUAUGUGUGUUUUAAAAAAGUCCUCAUUAAUUUCAGAGUCACGGUUUACAUUGUGGAUUAAAACCUGAUAUCCUUGACUUACUCUAAUAUGAUGUUCUUGAAUUAUUCUAACGUGAUGGUCUUUCAGUGAAUUAUUACCUUUACUUGACAAUCUCUUAGUUCCUAACGUGAUAGCCUGUGAUUGACUUACUUCGGCGAUUUAAUAUAUAUGACUUGCCUUUCUCUAAAUAAAAGUGUUUAUUCGUGAAUAAUCUCUACGAGAUUUAUGGCUAUGACUUACCUCUAGGUGACGGUCUGUUAGCUCGGGAAUUACUUUUACGAGAAGGUUUAAGGCUAUGACUUACCUCUAGGUGACGGCCUGUUUGCUCUGGAAUUACUUCUACGUGAAGAUUUAUGGCUAUGACUUACCGCUAGGCGACGGUCUGUUUAUUCGUGAGUUAUCUCCACGAGAAGAUUUAUGGCUAUGACUUACCUCUAGGUGACGAUCUGUUUACUCUGGAAUUACUUCUACGUGAAAAUGUAUGGCUAUGACUUA
rnacentral:misc_RNA from 1 species